GUGUUCAACAAUACCAAAAAUAAAUUUGUUCUCAAGGUUAUUAGUCGAACAGGGGAAAAAUAAGGAAUUAUCGAUUUCCUUUUGGGAGUGCAUAUCCUUGAUAGGAUUUGGUGUAAAUUGUGUCGGCGAGGCAGUUGAUGCAGUGUCUUCAAAAGUGAUCAGAUGAAAUCCUGAAACUGGUUUUCUUUGUUCUAUCGUCUGCAUCUCCUUGAAGAAUCAGAAUCGUCUUUCGACAAGUGUGAGCCAAUGUGAGAGUGAGCGUGCAAGUUCCCUUAUAAGCAACCUGAUUCAUCUUAUUCCCAGUGUCAGAUAUCGACAUCUGAGUAAAGAACACUGCCGAUACUCGAAGAAGACAAGGCAUGGUGGCCGUGCAUCGCCGUAUGCACUUGUGCAGCAGUAGUGCGGAAGCAUCCGGAUGAUGGUUUUACAACUUGUGCUGGAGGAGGAAAACACAAAUCAAGCAUCUUACUAGAAUAUCGAACCACAGCCAUCGUUGGAUACCGCGAGCAGCAGCUCAAACUCCGAUCGGAGAUUGCAAAAUCUUUUCUUCUGGAUAAUUGAUGUUCAAUUUAAGUGAUUUGUGAUGAGGCAUGCAUCCGUAUGGGUGUGUAUCCUGACGUUCUACAACCUUCAAUCUUCAUCGUUAGCUGCCAUCGUAGCACCGCCAUGGAGUGAUCCGAACAAAAACCCCUGCGCCAGUCAGCCCGGGGGAUGGCAACUACUUUACUGGCCACCGCUCAAAAAAUGUUUCAAAAUCUUCCAGCUUGGGUACCCCUGCCCUGACACGAUGGAACUUAGCCCCGUGGGCGUAGGUUCCACCAGUACGGGAUCAACGGCCGAAUGUCGCUGUCCACCGGGAACGGCGCAAUCUCCACUGACCAAAAGAUGCCAUCAGCUGUUCGAACGAGGGCCGUGUGAAUUUGGACAGUUUUUCGCACCGAUUGCCGAUUCGGAUGUGAAGAGUGCCAUACCAAAGCAACGUUGGGGUACGUGCAAAUCAGCGGAGAUAUGUGAGAGCGGAAUGGUUUAUUGGCCGCAGGACAACAAAUGUUACCAGCUACAUACCAAAGGACCCUGCCCAAAGGGGAAAUUAAUUAGUUUAGAUAACGACGGGAUAGCUAAAUGCAAGUGUCAAAAUGAAGGAGAGUUGAGCAAUUAUUUCUACGAUGAGACGGAAACAUGCCAUGAGUUUUUCACUAAAGGGCCAUGCUUGCGUACAGGAGAGCUUUUUCUACCAUCUAAGAAAUGUGCAUGCCAUCAACGAUUACCGCAUUUCCAUAACGAAUCAAAUCAGUGUUAUGAAAUUGGCACCAUUGGGCCUUGUCCUAUUGGGCACACUUUCAUUAUAGCCGAUAAAAGAGGUCAACAAGAGGUAAGCUCAAUGAAGGCGGAAUGUAGAUGUAAGGACAACUAUGUUCUUUGGGAAAACGGCUACUGCUAUAAGCUAUACACACAAGGUCCUUGUGAGACAGGAUCUUUUCUGAUAGACGCAAAUGUCUGCAUACCAAACCCUUGUGAAAAAGGCAGAUUGUAUUUUCCAAAAGAGAAAACAUGUUAUCGUAUAGGUUCACAAGGUCCCUGUAGCCUACAUCAAGUGGUAAUAUUUGACUUCACGACAAGGCCCUCUUUGGAUGGCAUUUCCUAUAAUGGUAUCUGCGGAUGUUCCGGUGUCAUCCAUAAUCUGGAUCAAUCAUGCACAGAUGACGAAGUUCCUAAAAGUGCUUGUGAUAGUACGCCCGAUAUGAUAGAGAUAAAUAAACAGUGUUAUAAGCUUUAUACUCGAGGACCUUGUGGUCCAGGGCAGUGGCUAGAACCGAAGAAGUCGUCAUCCAAUGUACGAGCAGCCACAUGCGUUUGCCGGCCAGGAUAUACUUCGUACGAAGCACCCUUGCAAAACGGCGUGAUCGGCUGUCAACCACCGGCCGUUGGACUUGCCAGGUAUUUGAAUAGGAGACGGAUCCUUCAAAUUAGAAUUGGAAACAUUACGUUAGCAAUCCCACAUUAGUACUAACAAAUCAUCAAUACUAAUAUUUUUCCAAGCAUGCAGUAACGCAAACACUGAUGAAGCUAAUUCUCCCCCUUAGUAGAUGUAAUAGCAUGGACCGGUAACCAAAUUUUAUUUCACUCAAUUUACUAGGUGGUUCAUGAGUCUAUUAGGAUUUGCAUCGCCAGAACCAGAAGAAUACUGAGUUACCAAAAAAAGCGUGCUGUGGCAAUGGAUUUUCCCGAAAAGCAACGAGAUAAUCACGAUAUUAGUAUGUAAUGCAGCAACAACCCUAAUAUAUUCUUAUCGAACCCAGUCAAGUACACAACUAGCUUGCCUUCUCGCAAGAUCAAAGUUACGAUAAGUGAGAGUGCCAUAGUCGCAGAAAUGGUUGAACAAAAAAAACCGAGUGGAACAUUCCAUAUACCAAUGUCGACUGAGUAGCUUAGGUAAAAUCAAAUGUACAAUAAAGGAAAACACAAACUA